CGGAGUUUGGCUCAGUUUGGUAGAGUGCUACGCUUGGGACGUAGAGGCCACAGGUUCAAAUCCUGUAACUCCGACCA
rnacentral:tRNA from 1 species